rnacentral:rRNA from 1 species
GAACGUUGGCGGCGUGGAUUAGGCAUGCAAGUCGAACGAAUCCCGGGGGCAACUCCGGGUGAAGUGGCGAAAGGGGCAGUAAGGCGUGGCUAACCUACCCCGGGGACGGGGAUAGCCUUCCUAACGGAAGGGUAAUACCCGGCGAUGUGGCGGGGGGACAUCCCCCUGCCAUGAAACGAGUUUCGCCUCGGGAGGGGGUCACGUGCUAUUAGUUUGUUGGCGGGGUAAAGGCCCACCAAGGCGAAGAUGGCUAGCGGGUGUGAGAGCACGACCCGCGCCACUGGCACUGAGACACUGGCCAGACUCCUACGGGAGGCUGCAGUCGAGGAUCUUCGGCAAUGGGCGCAAGCCUGACCGAGCGACGCCGCGUGUGCGAUGAAGGC